AACGAACGCUGGCGGCAGGCUUAACACAUGCAAGUCGAGCGCACCGCAAGGUGAGCGGCAGACGGGUGAGUAACGCGUGGGAAUCUACCCAACCCUACGGAAUAACCCAGGGAAACUUGGACUAAUACCGUAUACGCCCUUUUGGGGAAAGAUUUAUCGGGGAUGGAUGAGCCCGCGUUGGAUUAGCUAGUUGGUGGGGUAAAGGCCUACCAAGGCGACGAUCCAUAGCUGGUCUGAGAGGAUGAUCAGCCACAUUGGGACUGAGACACGGCCCAAACUCCUACGGGAGGCAGCAGUGGGGAAUAUUGGACAAUGGGCGCAAGCCUGAUCCAGCCAUGCCGCGUGAGUGAUGAAGGCCUUAGGGUUGUAAAGCUCUUUCAGUAGGGAAGAUAAUGACGGUACCUACAGAAGAAGCCCCGGCUAACUUCGU
rnacentral:rRNA from 1 species